AUGAACGCUAGCUACAGGCUUAACACAUGCAAGGUCGAGGGGCAGCAUGGGAUUAGCUUGCUAAUCCUGAUGGCGACCGGCGCACGGGUGAGUAACGCGUAUCCAACCUUCCCCCUGCUCAGGGAUAGCCCGCUGAAAGGCGGAUUAACACCUGAUAGCUUCACUAGAUGGCAUCUGACGGUGAAUAAAGAUAACGGCAAGGGAUGGGGAUGCGUCUGAUUAGCUUGUGGCGGGUAACGGCCCACCAAGGCAACGAUCAGUAGGGGUUCUGAGAGGAAGGUCCCCCACAUUGGAACUGAGACACGGUCCAAACUCCUACGGGAGGCAGCAGUGAGGAAUAUUGGUCAAUGGGCGGAAGCCUGAACCAGCCAAGUAGCGUGCAGGAUGACGGCCCUAUGGGUUGUAAACUGCUUUUGUGCGGGAAUAAAGUCAUCCACGUGUGGAUGUUUGCAUGUACCGCAAGAAUAAGGACCGGCUAAUUCCGUGCCAGCCGCAGC
rnacentral:rRNA from 1 species